GCUACGGGUGGCAGCAGUGGGGAAUAUUGGACAAUGGGGGAACCCCUGAUGCAGCGACGCCGCGUGAGUGAAGCAGUCUUUCUGUAUGGAAAGCUCUGUCAGCAGGGAAGAAAAUGCCGGUACCUGCCCACGCAGCCCCGGCUACCUCCGUGCAAGCCGCCGCGGUCAUACGAGGGGGGACAGCGGUAUCCGGAUUUACUGGUGGUAAAGGGGGCGUAGACGGCAGGGAAAGUCUGGAGUGAAGGCGGGGGCUCAACCGCCGUACUGCUCUGGAUACUGGCAGGCUGGAGUGCCGGAGAGGUAAGUGGAAUUCCUGGUGUAGCGGUGAAAUGCGUAGAUAUGAGGCGGAACACCAGUGGCGAAGGCGGCUUACUGGACUGUAACUGACGUUGAGGCUCGAAAGCGUGGGGAGCAAACAGGAUUAGAUACCCCUGUAGUC
rnacentral:rRNA from 1 species